AUUAAGAUGGCAGAUCAGUGCAUAGAAUUUAAGCUUCUAUUAGAAAACGUAUUAAAUUGUUUUUCUUAAUA
rnacentral:tRNA from 1 species